rnacentral:rRNA from 1 species
CUUAACCCCGGAAUAGCUUUUGAAACUGCAUGUCUAGAAUCCCGGAGGGGCCAGCAGAAUUCCUAGUGUAGAGGUGAAAUUCGCAGAUAUUAGGAGGAAUACCAGUGGCGUAGGCGGCUGGCUGGACGGGCAUUGACGCUCAGAUACGAAAGCGUGGGGAGCAAACAGGAUUAGAUACCCUGGUAGUCCACGCCGUAAACGAUGUGUGCUAGUUGUCGGGCCUCCUGAAUUCAGAAAACAGGAAUCAGAAGCCAGAAAAUGCAAAUGUAAAUGUUUUUCCAAAAAUGUUUAUUUUAAGCUUUUCUGAUUUCAGGUUUCAGACUUCUGGCUUCAGGUGGCCCGGUGACGGAGGGAAACCAUUAAGCACACCGCCUGGGGAGUACGGCCGCAAGGCUAAAACUCAAAGGAAUUGACGGGGACCCGCACAAGCGGUGGAGCAUGUUAUUUAAUUCGAGGCAACGCGAAGAACCUUACCCACUCUUGACAUCCUCCUUGGGACUUUCAGAGAUGAUUGUCUUCGGUUCGGCCGGGGG